rnacentral:rRNA from 1 species
AACGAACGCUGGCGGCAUGCCUAACACAUGCAAGUCGAACGAGAUCCUUCGGGGUCUAGUGGCGGACGGGUGAGUAACGCGUGGGGACCUGCCCAGGGGUACGGAAUAACUACGGGAAACUGUAGCUAAUACCGUAUGAUGCCGAAAGGCCAAAGAUUUAUCGCCCUUGGAUGGACCCGCGUUGGAUUAGCUAGUUGGUGAGGUAAUGGCUCACCAAGGCGACGAUCCAUAGCUGGUUUGAGAAGAUGAUCAGCCACACUGGGACUGAGACACGGCCCAGACUCCUACGGGAGGCAGCAGUGGGGGAAUAUUGGACAAUGGGGGGCAACCCUGAUCCAGCAAUGCCGCGUGAGUGAAGAAGGCCUUAGGGUUGUAAAGCUCUUUCAGAUGGGAAGAUAAUGACGGUACCAUCAGAAGAAGCCCCGGCUAACUCCGUGCCAGCAGCCGCGGUAAU